UACGUAGGUGGCAAGCGUUGUCCGGAUUUACUGGGCGUAAAGAGCGCGCAGGCGGUCGUUCAAGUCGCGUGUGAAAUCCCCGGGCUCAACCUGGGAACUGCAUUUGUGACUGCAUCGCUGGAGUGCGGCAGAGGGGGAUGGAAUUCCGCGUGUAGCAGUGAAAUGCGUAGAUAUGCGGAGGAACACCGAUGGCGAAGGCAAUCCCCUGGGCCUGCACUGACGCUCAUGCACGAAAGCGUGGGGAGCAAACAGG
rnacentral:rRNA from 1 species